rnacentral:rRNA from 1 species
UACAGAGGUCUCAAGCGUUGUUCGGAUUCAUUGGGCGUAAAGGGUGCGUAGGCGGCACGGUAAGUCGGGUGUGAAAUCUUGGAGCUUAACUCCGAAACUGCAUUCGAUACUGCCGUGCUUGAGGACUGGAGAGGAGACUGGAAUUUACGGUGUAGCGGUGAAAUGCGUAGAUAUCGUAAGGAAGACCAGUGGCGAAGGCGGGUCUCUGGACAGUUCCUGACGCUGAGGCACGAAGGCCAGGGGAGCAAACGGG